UUCCAGACUCCUACGGGAGGCAGCAGUGAGGAAUAUUGGUCAAUGGGCGGGAGCCUGAACCAGCCAAGUCGCGUGAGGGAUUAAGGCCCUGCGGGUCGUAAACCUCUUUUGCCGGGGAGCAGUGGUCCGGACGCGUCCGGACCGGGAGAGUACCCGGAGAAAAAGCAUCGGCUAACUCCGUGCCAGCAGCCGCGGUAAUACGGAGGAUGCGAGCGUUAUCCGGAUUUAUUGGGUUUAAAGGGUGCGUAGGCGGAAGGUUAAGUCAGCGGUCAAAUGUCGGUGCUCAACACCGGCCUGCCGUUGAAACUGGUCUUCUUGAGUGAGCGAGAAGUAUGCGGAAUGCGUGGUGUAGCGGUGAAAUGCAUAGAUAUCACGCAGAACUCCGAUUGCGAAGGCAGCAUACCGGCGCCCAACUGACGCUCAUGCACGAAAGCGUGGGUAUCGAACAGGAUUAGAUACCCCAGUAUU
rnacentral:rRNA from 1 species